GGGGGAACUGAAACAUCUAAGUACCCCGAGGAAAAGAAAUCAACCGAGAUUCCCCCAGUAGCGGCGAGCGAACGGGGAGCAGCCCAGAGCCUGAAUCAGUGUGUGUGUUAGUGGAAGCGUCUGGAAAGGCGCGCGAUACAGGGUGACAGCCCCGUACACAAAAAUGCACAUGCUGUGAGCUCGAUGAGUAGGGCGGGACACGUGGUAUCCUGUCUGAAUAUGGGGGGACCAUCCUCCAAGGCUAAAUACUCCUGACUGACCGAUAGUGAACCAGUACCGUGAGGGAAAGGCGAAAAGAACCCCGGCGAGGGGAGUGAAAAAGAACCUGAAACCGUGUACGU
rnacentral:rRNA from 1 species